rnacentral:pre_miRNA from 1 species
AGUAGGAGAAUGACAAAUGAGACUUUUACUUCUGAUUUUAAGUUUUUUUCUCCUGGAAAAAAAAAAUUCAAAUAAACUAAAAGUGCUAAAAAUUAGGAGAAAAAAAAUCUGACUUGUUAUUCUUCUAUU